CCUCCUUUCUAAGGAAAUCGAAAAUAUUAAAACAAUUAUUUUCGAUUUAAAAAAAACCGGUAAUGUGACCGUCCUCAUUUCUCUUCUUUUAAUGUCUCUAAGUAAAUCAAGGGGCCGGUAGCUCAGGUGGUUAGAGCGCACCCCUGAUAAGGGUGAGGUCGGAAGUUCGAAUCUUCCUCGGCCCGCCAAUAUUACGGGGGAUUAGCUCAGCUGGGAGAGCGCCUGAUUUGCAUUCAGGAGGUCAGCGGUUCGAUCCCGCUAUCCUCCACCAAAAUUUAGACAUUUAGCUUUUUUAAAUCGUAAAUAUUAUUAUUAUCAAUAUCUAUAUCCGAUUGUUUUCGAAUAUUUUUUUGAAAACAAUCAAAACAAAAAUUUAAUUUAUUACAGAAAAAAUUUUUUUCUGUGCAUAAAUCAAGCGUUUAAGGGCGAUUGGCGGAUGCCUUGGCACUGUAAGACGAUGAAGGACGUGGUAUACUGCGAUAAGUUUCGGGGAGCCGUAUGCAGGCUUUGAUCCGAAAAUUCCG
rnacentral:misc_RNA from 1 species